rnacentral:lncRNA from 1 species
GCAGGGAGGAGCGCGAUGGGAGCAGCUCACAAGAAACAAGAUGUGUGGGGGGCAAUGGGCGCUCCCUGGUCCUGUGUAAAGCUUUGUGCAGUGAGGGUUGGGAUUCCGGCUGCAGCGCUGCUCCAGCACCCCUCCCCCCUCCAAGUGCUGGAGCUGGGACCCCAGAUCAGAGUGGAAACCAAGGGGCCAAGGCCUGGGCCACCCCAAAAGCCCCCACUAGGGAUGGUGAGAGCAACAUCUAGAAUGCCUCAGGCUCAGCCUUCCCCGAGUGGCCUCAAGUGACAACCAGGCAGG